rnacentral:guide_RNA from 1 species
AAAUAUCAUAUAUGGCGGGUAUAGAGCGUUGUAU